UAUGCAUCUUUUCAUGGACACCCAACUCUUUUCUGUACAUACGGACCUUGUUCUCUCUUUCUUUCAAAAGGAAUAGUACUGCCCUGCAAUGAAAGUGAGAAAGUGCAGUUUGGUCUGCUAACCAGUGGUUGGGGAUAUUUGGAGGCAUGCUUUGGCUCAAGUAGGUUCUCUGGUACAAAGAGAAAAGUGGGAAAGAAGAGGCAAAGAAGCAUAUCCCAAGAAGAUAUGGAUGUGGUUAGAAAUGAGUGGACAAAGUUUGUGGUCAAGACAUAUGUAAGCAUUGUACUUGGUACUUGGGUACCCAUAUAUUUAGUUCAGUUGAGACUUUGUUC